UACGUAGGUGACCAGCGUUGUCCGGAUUUACUGGGCGUAAAGAGCGCGCAGGCGGUCGUUCAAGUCGAGUGUGAAAGCCCCCGGCUCAACUGGGGAGGGUCAUUCGAUACUGAUCGACUCGAAGGCAGGAGAGGGAAGCGGAAUUCCCGGUGUAGUGGUGAAAUGCGUAGAUAUCGGGAGGAACACCAGUGGCGAAGGGCGCUUG
rnacentral:rRNA from 1 species